AUUGAACGCUGGCGGCAUGCCUUACACAUGCAAGUCGAACGGCAGCAUGGAAGAGCUUGCUCUUCUGAUGGCGAGUGGCGAACGGGUGAGUAAAGCAUCGGAACGUACCGUGUAGUGGGGGAGAACGUAGCGAAAGUUACGCUAAUACCGCAUACGCACUGAGGUGGAAAGCAGGGGAUCGCAAGACCUUGCGCUAUACGAGCGGCCGAUGUCAGAUUAGCUAGUUGGUAGGGUAAAGGCCUACCAAGGCGACGAUCUGUAGCGGGGCUGAGAGGAUGAUCCGCCACACUGGGACUGAGACACGGCCCAGACUCCUACGGGAGGCAGCAGUGGGGAAUUUUGGACAAUGGGGGAAACCCUGAUCCAGCCAUGCCGCGUGAGUGAAGAAGGCCUUCGGGUUGUAAAGCUCUUUCGGCUGGGAAGAAAUCGCACAGGCUAAUACUCUGUGUGGAUGACGGUACCAGCACAAGAAGCACCGGCUAACUACGUGCCAGCCGCCGCAGUAA
rnacentral:rRNA from 1 species